rnacentral:rRNA from 1 species
GACGAACCGAGCGAACGUUGUUCGGAAUCACUGGCUUAAAGGGCGCGUAGGCGGUGCUCAAGUCCGGGGUGAAAUCCUCCAGCUCAACUGGAGAACUGCCUCGGAUACUGGGUGCCUCGAGUGUGGUAGGGUGUGCGGAACCUAUCGGUGGAGCGGUGAAAUGCGUUGAUAUCGAUAGGAACUCCGGUGGCGAAGGCGGCACACUGGACCACAACUGACGCUGAGGCGCGAAGCCAGGGAGCAAACGGG